UACGGAGGGUGCGAGCGUUAUCCGGAAUUACUGGGUUUAAAGGGUGCGUAGGCGGCCAUGUAAGUCAGGAGUGAAAGUUUGCGGCUCAACCGUAAAAUUGCUUUUGAUACUGCAUGGCUGGAAUCAGGAUGAGGUCAGCGGAAUGUGGCAUGUAGCGGUGAAAUGCAUAGAUAUGCCAUAGAACACCAAUUGCGAAGGCAGCUGGCUACACGAAUAUUGACACUGAGGCACGAAAGCGUGGGGAUCAAACAGG
rnacentral:rRNA from 1 species